CUGGGGUUGCAAAGAGUCGGACAAGAUUGAGUGACUUUCACUUUCAUUACAUCAUAAACAGCCUGGGAAGACUUCGUAAUGCUCACCCUUAGAGAGAACCUUGAAUUCCAUUAGAAAGCUCCACAGGAAGGAGAAACCCUCAAGUGGCAGCUUGAACCACAGAGAGAGCUCAUACCCUUUACUAAUAUUAGAAGUGAGCUCAUGGGAUUAAGUCUGCAAGUCCUGGAAAAUUAAAAGGCUGGGAGAGUGCAUCUACAAAGAGACAAUCAUUUUUCAAUAUUUUAUAUUUACGGAAUGUAUACUAUAUGUCAAACAUUAUGUAAGAGACCACUAGGAAUAUUCAAGAAACAGAACACUGAUCCCUGACCUCAGAGAACUCACAACCAGCUGAAGAGACAACACAAGGUGGACAGUAUGGUAAACCUGAUUAAUACAGUAACAGUAGUUCGAUGAAACUGCUGGAGAAUU